GGACGAACGCUGGCGGCGUGCCUAACACAUGCAAGUCGAACGAGAAAUAUGGAAAGGAUUCCUCGGGGAGAAUAGAAAUAUGGACAGUGGCGGACGGGCGAGUAACGCGUGAGUAACCUGCCCAUAAGCGGGGGAUAGCCGAUGGAAACGUCGAGUAAUACCCCAUGGCGUAUAUAUAUCGCAUGGUAUAUAUAUCAAAGAUUUAUCGUUUAUGGAUGGACUCGCGUCUGAUUAGAUAGUUGGUGGGGUAACGGCUCACCAAGUCGACGAUCAGUAGCCGAACUGAGAGGUUGAUCGGCCGCAUUGGGACUGAGACACGGCCCAGACUCCUACGGGAGGCAGCAGUGGGGGAUAUUGCGCAAUGGGGGGAACCCUGACGCAAGCAACGCCGCGUGCAGGAAGAAGGUCUUCGGAUUGUAAACUGUUGUCGCAAGGGAAGAAGAAGAUGACGGUACCUUGUGAGAAAGUCACGGCUAACUACGUGCCAGCCGCGGC
rnacentral:rRNA from 1 species